UAUCCUUCUAAUAAAAAAGGGUACAAAUGUUAUCAUCCUCAGAGUCGUUGCGUCUUUAUCACCAUGGAUGUCACUUUCAUGAAACACAAUCCUUUUAUGUUAGUCCACCACUUCAGGGGGAGAAAGCAUUUGAAGUGGAUGAACUCUCCUUGUCAUUACCAUGUUUGUCUUUGUAGGAUGCCCAAGACCUGAGCAAUGAAGCUACCAUAGUCCACAGUGAGGAAGAAGAGGAAGAAUUUUUUGGCAAAAAAUAUGAAAGAAGAAAAGAACCCACUUCGACUCUUGAGCAAGAAGAAUUGUCUAAUCCGGAGGUGAGGAUCCCUGAAGAUAUCAAUGAGGAGGAAGUAAGUAUUAUUGAGGAUUUACCCAUUGCAUUGAGAAAGGAAAGAAGAUCAUGUGCUAAAUAUCUUAUUUCUCAAUAUGUUUGCACUAACAAUCUCUCUAAAGAAGGUAUGUCUCCUGAAGAAAGCAUUGGAAGAUUUACAAAAGCAAUGGUUUCCUUGGGAUACAGACAAAGCCAAGGAGAUCACACUCUAUUCACAAAGCACUCUUCUACAGGUUCUAUUACUGACAAAAAAUCUACUUCUGGGUAUUGUGUGUUCAUGGAGAUAGUCUGGUAACAUGGAGAAGCAAAACGCAAGAUAGAGUAUCUCGUUCUAGUGCAGAAGCUGAAUUUCGAGCUCUUGCUCAAGGAAUGUGUGAAGGACUCUGCAUGAAAAUCAUUUUGGAUGAUCUUAAAGUCAAAGUGGAGAACUCGGUGCAACUACACUGUGACAAUAAGUCUGCCAUAAGCAUAGGCCAUAAUCCAGUACAGCAUGACAGAACCAAACACAUUAAGAUUGACAGACAUUUCAUCAAAGAUAAUCUUGACAGAGGUUUUGUGAUUACAACUCAUGUUCCUCCAGAACUUCAAAUAGUAGAUAUUUUUACAAAAGGGCUUCCUCUGGGUAGAUUUCAAGAUCUUGUAGGUAAGUUGGGAAUGAUUGAUAUUCAUUUACCAACUUGAGGGGGAGUGUUGUAAUUAGAGAAGAUAUCUUUAGAAUCUUCCUAAUUAGAGAAAAUAGAUAUAUAAUCUUCUAUUUUAUUUUGUUUACCUAGUUUCCCUAUUUCCCUUUUUAGGAGAAUUAGAUUGUUACAAAUAGAGGAUAUGAGAAUGUAUUUUUUAAGAUUCUGAAUAAUAAAAUUAGUCCUAUUUUC